rnacentral:rRNA from 1 species
UACGUAGGGUGCAAGCGUUAUCCGGAAUUAUUGGGCGUAAAGAGCUCGUAGGCGGUUUGUCGCGUCUGCUGUGAAAACUGGAGGCUCAACCUCCAGCCUGCAGUGGGUACGGGCAAACUAGAGUGCGGUAGGGGAGAUUGGAAUUCCUGGUGUAGCGGUGAAAUGCGCAGAUAUCAGGAGGAACACCGGUGGCGAAGGCGGAUCUCUGGGCCAUUACUGACGCUGAGGAGCGAAAGCGUGGGGAGCGAACAGG